CCUACGGGAGGCAGCAGUGAGGAAUAUUGGUCAAUGGACGAGAGUCUGAACCAGCCAAGUAGCGUGAAGGAUGACUGCCCUAUGGGUUGUAAACUUCUUUUAUAUGGGAAUAAAAUGUUCCACGUGUGGGAUUUUGUAUGUACCAUAUGAAUAAGGAUCGGCUAACUCCGUGCCAGCAGCCGCGGGAAUACGGAGGAUCCGAGCGUUAUCCGGAUUUAUUGGGUUUAAAGGGAGCGUAGGUGGAUUGUUAAGUCAGUUGUGAAAGUUUGCGGCUCAACCGUAAAAUUGCAGUUGAAACUGGCAGUCUUGAGUACAGUAGAGGUGGGCGGAAUUCGUGGUGUAGCGGUGAAAUGCUUAGAUAUCACGAAGAACUCCGAUUGCGAAGGCAGUUCACUGGACUGCAACUGACACUGAGGCUCGAAAGUGUGGGUAUCAAACAGGAUUAGAUACCCGUGUAGUC
rnacentral:rRNA from 1 species